UUUCAAGGCACCCUUUUUAUAUCCAGGACGCGCGCUCAUCAUUCAAGCUGAUGAUUCACGGCUGUCGCCGGUCAGCAUGAUUGCUGUGAGUUGAUAUUUGAUUUCAGACACCUGUCACACCUGAGGCGUUCCCCCAUAGCGUCGUUGACGUAUUGUCGAAGUUCCCUUCGAAAGGGAACAAAUUAUUUUAAAUUGUAAUAAUAUAUCACAAUAUUACAUUUUUUUCUGUAUUUUUGAUCAAAUAAAUGCAGGCUUGAUGAGCAGAAGAAACUUCUUUCAAAAACAUUAAAAAUAGUAAUGUUUCCAAACUUUUGGCCUGUACUGUAUCCCAAAACUGCACAACUGUAGAGUAAAACAUUAAUAAAAAAGUGAUAAUAAAAAAUGCGUCUUAAAACUGACAUGAUUGUACAAAAUCACAGUCUGGGGACUCAUUUCUACGGGCUGUGUGUUAACCAUAGACAGUAAAAGAAAUGGACACAGCGACCCCAUUGGAACUCAAUUGAGACAAGUGAAGCCCAUUUUUAGCAUUUUUUAGCACUUCCGUUUCUGACGCGCAGACUCAAACGAAGCUUGACGACGGCGAGCUUGAGCGGGGAGUUCUUUGUCGUGAGUGAGCAGGAGUAAGUAUUCUGAUUAAUUAUUUUGUAUAGUAUUUUAAAAUGUAACGCCAGUACGCCAUAUUAAGUUAAUUGCCUGCGAGCUUCUCCUCCUAUCUGUACGGUAAUGCGACAGAGAGUCGAGAGGUUAUGACGCAAUCGUUAGCCUAUUUUUUACAAAAACUGUUUCUACGGGGCCAUAAUGUAACAUAGAAGGUAAUGGAGCCCUUUAUACAUUGUCGUGUAUCUUUAGAAAUAAAUAAUGGACAAACAGAGUCUUUAAAAGCCUCAGAUGUAAAGUUAUUCGCUGUCUAAGUGACGCCAAAAUGAAUGGGAGUCAAUGGGAAUGCUAACGCAAGUGAAGUUCUGCUACAAGAUGGCAGCCCCCACCCGACUUCAACUUCCGGUCGACUUCCUUGCCGCCUGGUGUUAACAAAAGCAGUGCUGUCUACAUUGAAUGCGGCGUCGGGCACGCUACACAACAAAUUACCAACAACUGAUCAUGCGCGCGCUCUGUUUCUGACGCACUCCAAGCACUCGAUGGGUGGGGGAGGAUUGAAAUAGUAGCCUAUUAUUAAAAAAAAAUAUGUAAAAAAUAGGCAUUUGCCUAUACCGCCUAUGCCGCGGGCCGGCCCUGGAUGCAUGCGCUUUAUUUAACGUCUCUUAGACUGUUCAGUAGAAACACCUGCAACUGCAAUGAUAGAGCUUGGAAAGAGCCAGGACAGUUUUAAAAAUAACUCAGGUUGGAUUCGUCUGAAAGAAGCAAGUCAUAUACACCUAGGAUGCCUCAAGGGUGAGUAAAACAAAGGAGAAUUUUCCUUUUUGGGUGAACGAACCCUUUAAUUGAGAAGGAAAAAUAUAAUGUUUUUUUUCCUCACCUAAGGACGUGUCCAGGACGGCAACCUCGUUCUUAAUUUAUGUGACCUUGUGAAGCCUUGGAAAGAACUCUCCCAAGCUCAAAAGUUGUACCUCCGCAUGUAUCAUGACGGCUGUGUCUGUGAGAUCUCUCCCUGUACUGGAGCGUCCUGUUUGACCGAGAUGGUUCAGAAAAAAUGUCUGAUAAGAGCCAAAGAUUCAUUCACUUUUGAUGAUGACAAGGCUCUUCAGUCUAUUUGCCUGCCAGAGAGUGCUGGUGCCGAUGUCUGUAAAUGGCGAAUAAUUCUUAAUUAACUACAAAUGCUCCUAAAAAUGAUGCCCUGAAGAACAAGUGCAUCAGCCAUUUGCAGUGUGUGUGUUUGCCCUUUUAUUCUCCAGAAUGCUUAGCAUUUUGAAAUAAAUUUAAACAAUUUAAUGAAGCUUUGCAAUGCAGUGAGUAAAUACAUACAAAACACUGUUUUCAUGGAUGCAAUCAACCAUUAAACUAUUUUGCAUGUAAAA